UAAAUUGACGGUACCUGAUGAAUAAGCUCCGGCUAACUACGUGCCAGCAGCCGCGGUAAUACGUAGGGAGCGAGCGUUAUCCGGAAUUAUUGGGCGUAAAGGGUGCGUAGAUGGCAUAUAAAGUCUAUUGUAAAAGUGCUAGGCUCAACCUAGUGAGGCAAUAGAAACUAAUAAGCUAGAGUACAGAAGAGGCAAGUGGAAUUCCAUGUGUAGCGGUAAAAUGCGUAAAUAUAUGGAGGAACACCAGUGGCGAAGGCGGCUUGCUGGUCUGAUACUGACAUUGAGGGCACGAAAGCGUGGGGAGCAAACAGGAUUAGAUACCCUGGUAGUCCACGCCCUAAACGAUGAGUACUAAGUGUAGCCGUAAGGCUGUGCUGAAGUUAACGCAUUAAGUACUCCGCCUGAGUAGUACGUACGCAAGUAUGAAACUUAAAGGAAUUGACGGGAGCCCGCACAAGCGGUGGAGCAUGUUGUUUAAUUCGACGAUACGCGAAGAACCUUACCAGGUCUUGACAUCUGAUGCAAAGUUAUAGAGAUAUAAUGGAGGUUAGCAUCAAGACAGGUGGUGCAUGGUUGUCGUCAGCUCGUGUCGUGAGAUGUUGGGUUAAGUCCCGCAACGAGCGCAACCCUUAUUUCUAGUUACCAUCAUUAAGUUGGGGACUCUAGAGAGACUGCCAUUGAUAAAAUGGAGGAAGGUGGGGAUGACGUCAAAUCAUCAUGCCCUAUAUGACCUGGGCUACAAACGUGCUACAAUGGCUGGAACAAAGAGAAGCAAAACCGCGAGGUAGAGCGAACCUCAAAAAAACAGUCUCAGUUCGGAUUGAAGUCUGCAACUCGACUUCAUGAAGUUGGAAUCGCUAGUAAUCGCGAAUCAGAAUGUCGCGGUGAAUACGUUAAGCGGGCUUUGCACACACCGCCCGUCAA
rnacentral:rRNA from 1 species